GUGGGGAGGAGGUGAGGGGGGAUGCGAGUGUUGGGGGUGGGAGGUCCUGGCAGGAGCUUGUAUUCACUACAGCUGCUAGGGCUGAGCUGGAGUCUUUCCGGAAGAUGCAGGAUUGAAACAAAGAAUGAGAAAGAGGUUGCAUGGAGCCAAGGACUUUUACUGGACCACACAAGGACGCCUUCCCGAUCCUAGAGCCUGGGACUGGGGGCUGCUUAGUUUAUUCCUGAGUGGGAGGCUGGGAGAGGACUACGGCUGGCGCCUGGGGAGAGUGCCCCCCGCCCACCAAGGCCAUGGUCAAGCUCAGAGUCCCAACACUCAGGCAUGAAUCUCCAGGGGACCCACGUGGAGGAGGUGCCUCGGUGGCAUGACUAGGAGGUGGCAUCGCAUUGUAAUCCCAGGCUUGGGGAGGGUUUUCUUGGGAGGAGAGUCCCAUCUGGAAGCUGGGGCAGGUGGAGCCAGGUCCAGCCCCCAGGGACAGGCCUCCUGUGAGGAGCCAGGCAGAGGACAAGACCAUGACCAAGCUGGAUGGAGGGCAGGAGAGGGCUCCAAGCCAAGGGUGAACUAGGGAGCACUCUGAGAAACUUCCAGAGGCCCACUGCAUACAGAUGGUAGGGACUAGGGAAAUCAGUCCAGGGAUAAGGCAGCAAAGUUGGUUCCAGACCCAGUGAUGGCCCAUAAGAUCUUCAGGAUGAGAGGGAGAGCUGAGAUUUGGGCCUGGGCUGAGAUGGGAAGUAUGUGGCACAUUUUGUCUGCCUCCCUGUGGUCCCGUGGCAGACAUCACUAAUCGAUCACCAUAUCUUUUCCUGUUGAGCCCUUAUAAUGGGCUCAGAACUGUUUCAACACAGGGCCCCAGAAGAUACGGAUAGAUUAGAGCUAGUGUGUUUUUCAUCGCUGGGCUGGGUCUCCAGAUCUGGGUUAGGGACAAGAGUGGUCAAGACCAUCAUGGUAGGGCAUGGUAGUUCAGGGGGCCUGCAAAGACCGCCUGGGGCCAUGAUGGUCGAGUUCAUUUCCAGAAUGUUUAGGCCAGGCACUGAUCCGGGAGCCAGAGCCCCAGCUGAUCCUUGCCCCGUGUAGCUCACAUUCUAGCAGAGUAAAAUAGGCAAUUUCGAAAAACAAACACACAAGUAAAUAGAAGCCAUGCUGCAUGCGUGCCAUGGAGAGAGAGAAGGCAGGGGGGUGGGACAGUGUGAUCAGGCCUCCUGGUUAGGUAACACUGGGCAGAGGCCUCAAGGGGAAUCCGGGAGACGCAUGGACCAGGGCUGGCUCAGGACAGGGGAAGGCUGGCCCUGCCACCAGAAGGGCUUUGUCACGCUGGUGGGGGAGGGCACCUCUGCCUCUUAGGAGCAUCUCGGUGUGUGAAGGAGACCCAUCAGUUUCCUGUAAGGGAGACAAUUCUGUUCCAUCAACAUUCAUAAAAGAGGCUCUUUGCAGGGAGAUAAGCUGUGCUUCCAAGAGAGACACAGAGUUGCACAUUUAGGGGUGAGAGUCAAAAUAAUCACCGGGUCCUCACAGACACCGGACCUGGCAGUGUGGCUGGGGGUCAGCCCGCUCAUAUGACCCCAUGGGGCCAGAGUCUAGGAUCUCCACUUGACCUUGUUUAAUAGCCUGCUCUGUAGACCUCUAGCCCUCAGCCUCAGAGUGGCCUGUGUGUCACAGGGCUCCUCCCAGGGUCAUCUGUCCUGCUUUCCCACUAAGAGCUCUUUCUUCUUUAAAAAAAAAAUCUUCAGUUUGGCUUGCUUUCCACGUUAGGUUAACCAUGCCAUUAUAGAAAAAAAAUUGGAAAAUAGAGAAAAGUAUAAAAACUCUGCCCAGUUUCGCCCCUGCUGUGACACGUGGCCCUCCCGCCUGUUUCUUCUGUGCAUAAUUUUUGUUUGGCUUGAUUUUUGCCUAGGUGUGAUUAUGCUGAAUAUACAAUUCAGCUGCUUCCUUUUUUUUCACUUAGCUUCUUAGAAUAAGCAUUUUCCUGUGUUAUUACAAACCCUCGGUAAACAUCAUUUCAAUUGUUGCCCAAUAUUCCAUCGAGUGGAUGUGCCAUGGUUUAUUUAAAUAUUCUCCCCUCCCUGUCGGGCCUGUAGAUUAUUUUUUUCUGUUGGUUUCUUUUUCCAUCAUAAAUAAAACGUCCUUUGUUUUCUCGUUCCUCUCUGUCUGAGGCCUCCAUCAAUAUUUACAAGAGAAGCCCAGUUGAGAUGUUGUCUGCAAUAGCAGGAUUGUUGAAACAACCACAGAAGCCAUGGCUUUGUGUACGGCUGGGGCUCGGGCCGCCCUUGGAAACGCCCAGCCAGAAAGGCAAGGCUGUUAGAGGAGCCACCCCAGGUGCCCUGCCCUGUGACAUCCCCGGAGCCAGGAUGUCAGGCGGGGAGCCACAUUCAUAGAGCCCCCUCUCUGCACAUGCCAGGCACUGGACCCGCUGCUUUCUAUGCAUCACCUCACUGAUCCUCACAACCCCAGUGUACAGGCUGUCUGAUGGCGCCAAGGAGCUUCAGAACUGCUCAGAGUUCCCUGGAAACCUGGAGAAGGUGCAAGGUGGAGAGACCGUCUUUCUUUCACAGAUUGAGAGUAAGGGCCGCUCAGGGAGACUGGGAGUGCAGACAUUCAGAGCCAUGACAGGUGCCUCAUACUUCCCGCCCUUGUCACCCUCACCUGGAAGGACCUUGUGGCCCCAGGGUCACCCUGGAGUCCCCCGAAAGCUGUGCCUCCAGCCUGGAGGAGGCUCCUAGGCAGACGCAAGCUGGGGCAGAGGAAGGGAGGUGAGACGCAAAGGGAGGAGGUGCCUUCAGGGAGCGGGAGGUGAGGAGGGGGCUGCUGAGGAGCAGAAGAAAGGACAGCCCCGGGGAGAGUGUCUACAAACAGCCCCCAGCCUCGGCUUUUUCGAAAAACGGGAUGUGGGUCAAAAUAAAACAAAGAUGAAAACACGAUCAAGUCUGGCUCGGCUUCCUGUGUGCAGGGGGAGGCGGAGACGUGGGUCUUACCCAGUAAUAGUAAGCAGGGCGUUGCCCACGCCUGGCUCUGAGCAGAUACUUUACCGUCAGACCCUCAUCAUCUGAAAGCGAUGAUCCUCACGAUUUGGCGGAGGAAACGGAGACGAG
rnacentral:lncRNA from 1 species